CGUUUCCUUGCUGGAGAGAGGCGGCGCUUUGUAUUGAAGCGAGGGUCGCCCACCGAAGGAGCAAACCCCGAUCGUGGGGCGAAUCUCUCAGGUAAAGCGGACAGCAGGGGUGGC
rnacentral:ncRNA from 1 species